rnacentral:rRNA from 1 species
AAAACGACUCUCGGCAACGGAUAUCUCGGCUCUCGCAUCGAUGAAGAACGUAGCAAAAUGCGAUACUUGGUGUGAAUUGCAGAAUCCCGUGAAUCAUCGAGUCUUUGAACGCAAGUUGCGCCCGAGGCCAUUAGGCUAAGGGCACGUCUGCCUGGGCGUCACGC